rnacentral:rRNA from 1 species
AAAGGUGAAAUUAAUUUAUUAAUUAUAAAUUAUAUUGUAUUAUUGAAGCUAAAAAGAUUUAGGGGUAAAAUAGGAUUAGAUACCCUAAUAUACUAAAUUUAAAAAUAGAAACCAAAAUAUUAAUAGUUAUGUUCUUUAAACUUAAAGAAUUUGGCGGUGUUUUAGUCUAGUCAGAGGAACCUGUUUCUAGUAAACGAUAAACCACGCAUAAUCUUGCUUUAGUUUGUAUACCGUCAUUAUUAGAUGAUUUUAAAAAGAUAAAUUAUUAUAAAAGAGUAUAAUCUAGUAUAUUAGAUCAAGGUGCAGCUAAUGAUAAAGUGGAAAUGGGUUACAAUAAAUUUAAUUUAUACGGAUCUAACAUUAGUGAAGGAGGAUUUGAUAGUAUUUAAAGUUAAUAAGUUUAAAUGAUAGAAGCUCUAAAACAUGUACAUAUCGCCCGUCGCUUUC